rnacentral:rRNA from 1 species
CGGCGGACGGGUGAGUAACGCGUGGGCAACCUGCCUUACACAGGGGGAUAACAGUUAGAAAUGACUGCUAAUACCGCAUAAGACCACAAAACCGCAUGGUUUGGUGGUAAAAACUCCGGUGGUGUAAGAUGGACCCGCGUCUGAUUAGCUUGUUGGCGGGGUAGGGGCCCACCAAGGCGACGAUCAGUAGCCGGCCUGAGAGGGUGGACGGCCACAUUGGGACUGAGACACGGCCCAAACUCCUACGGAAGGCAGCAG